rnacentral:rRNA from 1 species
CCUACGGGUGGCAGCAGUGGGGAAUAUUGCACAAUGGGGGAAACCCUGAUGCAGCGACGCCGCGUGAGUGAAGAAGUAUUUCGGUAUGUAAAGCUCUGUCAGCAGGGAAGAAAAUGACGGUACUUGACCAAUAAGCCCCGGCUAACUACGUGCCAGCAGCCGCGGUAAUACGUAGGGGGCAAGCGUUAUCCGGAGUUACUGGGUGUAAAGGGAGCGUAGACGGCAGGGCAAGUCUGGAGUGAAAGGCGGGGGCUCAACCCCCGGACUGCUCUGGAAACUGCCAGGCUGGAGUGCAGGAGAGGUAAGUGGAAUGCCUAGUGUAGCGGUGAAAUGCGUAGAGAUUAGGAGGAAUACCAGUGGCGAAGGCGGCUUACUGGACUGUAACUGACGUUGAGGCUCGAAAGCGUGGGGAGCAAACAGGAUUAGAUACCCGUGUAGUC